ensembl:snRNA U6 U6 spliceosomal RNA
GUGCUCGCUUCAGCAGCACAUAUACUAUCGCUGGAACAAUACAGAGAAGAUGAGCGUGGCCCCUGCGCAAGGAUGACGUACAAAUUCAUGAAGCGUUCCAUAUUUUU